UACUUUUAUCCUUUUGCCUUUUGCUCCGUGUUAUAUUUUCAACAAUAGACUUAGUAAGUCCUAUCACUCCAAAAGAAACUGAAGGCCAACACACGAAGCUGCAAAACAUUUAUUAGGAACCCUACAAUGCUACAACCAGGAUAGCAACUUGCCGCCAAACUAAAUUCUGUAAAAACAACUUGUACAAUUAUUCUGCACGCCAAGCUAUAACAGACACCCCAUUCUCUUCAAUCUUCAUAACUAAAAGAGAUAAUGCAUCAAAACUCCCCUAAACUAUCACAUUUUUAUUAGUCUCAUUCUUAAACUACCUAGUUUACGUUAGCUCCUGAAUUAUAACCUUCACGUGCUAAAGCCCCCUAAACUAUCACGGUUUUUAUUAGUUUCAUAUUUAAAACUAUGCCUAGCUUAGUUACCUCCUGAAAUAUAACCUUCACGUGCUAAACCCCCCUAAACUAUCAUAGUUUUUAUUAGUUUCAUACUUAAAUUAUGCCUAGCUUACGUUACCCCCCUGAACUAAUCCCACAGACCCACCUCCAAUAAUAUGGAAUCUAGUUAAUUUCCUCUGGCAAAAAAGACCAAAUAUACCUAAAAAAAAAAAAACGAUUUUACUUCUCUGCCCUAAAUGAUUGGAUAAAGGAAAACACAAUUUGAAGAAUUUGACAAU